AUAGUCCUGUUCAUUUAUCUGUCUAAGCUGAGCCAAGCAAAGAGUAGCUGGCGCUGGGACUUAACAGAAUAGCAUCUUAAUUGCUUAUCAGGAUGAGAAAGGUCCUGGGUGUCAAGUUGGCUCUGAUGUUGAAGAACUCUAAGCACUGACACUGGAAAACUGUAUUCCUCCUGGACUGGUAGAAGAUGACAAAGGAUUCCAUUUGCUCUCACAGUCCUGGUCAAAUGGGGAGGUCCUAGAUGACUGGAGACUUGCUAACAUGACACCCAUCUACAGGAAGGAUCAGAAAAAGGAUCCGGGGAAAUACAGGACUUCCAGUCUGAUCUUGGCAUUAGGGAAGACCAUGGAACAGAUCAUCUUGAGUGAGAUCGCACUGCAUGUGUGGGAGAACCAGAGGAUCAGGCCCAGCCAGUAUGUGUUCAUUAAAUGCAUGACUGGUCCUGCUUGACCAACCUCGCCUCCUUCUGUGAUAAAGUGACCAUCCUGGAGGAUGAGAGAAAGGGUGUUGAUGUAGUUUACUUUUAAUAAAGCCAUUAUCUUUAUUAAAAGUAGCUUUAUUAGUCUCCUACAGCAUUCUUCUGGAGAAGCUGGCAGUCCGUGUCUUAGACAAGUGUAAAAUUUUAAAACUAUUCAGAGCAAUGGCCUGUAUAAAAGUGCUCAACGUUUCUCCCUGCAGCAGUCUCUUUCCACACAAACCACAGGAAAUCAGAAGGUAAUUAGUCCAGCAGACAAAGGUUAACAUUUGUACAUAAUGAGCCCCAUCAUUUUGUUACUGAUAUUUGAUUGGAGUUUGAAUGGUCCACACUGUCCUGCACUAGAUACACCAAAUAACUUUGUCAAGGAUUCAAGGUUGGGGGGAGGAGGGGGGAAAUGUUUUCUAAAGAGAACAGUGUCAGAUAGAAAUGUAUUGGCUUAUUAUUUUAUGCAAAUAUAAUUCUGAGAUUCUGAUCUUUUGAAGUUAUGCCUAUUCUUGGAAGACUCGGACUAUUAGGCCUUCAUGAUGCAAUCAAAAGUGACCGUAUGAAAACACAAUGUGCAUGUUCUUUAUGGGAGAUUGCAUUGUCUUUUCAUGUCAUGUUUUGUGUUGUUGU